UACGGAGGGUGCAAGCAUUAAUCGGAUUUAUUGGGCGUAACGGGCGCGUAGGCGGAUGAGUAAGUCAGAUGUGAACUUCCGAAGCUCAACUUCGGAGCUGCAUUUGAAACUGUUUAUCUUGAGGAAUGGCGGAGAAAAUGGAAUUCCACGUGUAGCGGUGAAAUGCGUAGAUAUGUGGAAGAACACCGGUGGCGAAAGCGGUUUUCUAGCUUAGACCUGACGCUGAGGCGCGAGAGCAAGGGGAGAAAACAGG
rnacentral:rRNA from 1 species